AAAAUAGUAGCUAUUUCUUUAUAUUUUGCUCACUAAAGAAUAUCUAUUCAUUCCCACAUGGUUUAUGAUUCCCACAAAUCAUAAAC
rnacentral:sRNA from 1 species